rnacentral:rRNA from 1 species
UACGGGGGGGGCAAGCGUUGUUCGGAAUUACUGGGCGUAAAGGGCGCGUAGGCGGCCACCGCAAGUCGACUGUGAAAUCUCCGGGCUUAACCCGGAAAGGUCAGCCGAUACUGCGGGGCUAGAGUGCAGAAGGGGCAACUGGAAUUCCUGGUGUAGCGGUGAAAUGCGUAGAUAUCAGGAGGAAUACCGGUGGCGAAAGCGACUCUCUGGACGGCAACUGACGCUGAGGCACGAAAGCGUGGGGAGCAAACAGG